rnacentral:lncRNA from 1 species
GGGAUGAGGGACUGCAGACCACGGCAAAAAAAGAUGGUACCUUCUUCCAAAACCAUACUCUUGAAUUCUACAUGCAAAUCUAAAACAUGCCUUACAUGUUUUGAUGAUCCGAAAGUCUUUAGUCUGAACUUCUAAUGCAAACUCUGAACUAUAAUGCUUUGACUGACUAAACGUGACACGAACAUAUGAACUUGUAAUGCUCUUAGUCUUUGAAAGACUAAACAUGAAAUUUGUUUUGUACAUUGAUUUUUUUCCUUUUAUGCUAACCCUUAUACCUGGUAGAUUUGGUUAUUAAUUGGUGCUAGAAAUUUAGAGGACAUCAAUAUACCCUUUUUUUAGUGUAUAUUAGAUUCUUAAUGUAUACUUAUUUGCGUGCACCGAUGCUACUUGAACGGGAUCAAAAUUUCAUAGCUGAGCUAGAGUACUAUAUAUAUUGGUGGUGAUGCAUAUUUUUUUUUUGUUGCAGAUUACUGAUGAGAAGAUUCCGUGGAUGCAAGAUGAAAACAUGAAUGUAACCACCUAUUUUAAUGUGUUUCUGAAUGUAACAUGAGAUGUUGAAUCUGAUAUGCUGUAAUUUUGAUAAACUUGGUAUGUCUUUUGGGCUCAAAUGGUUGUUCUAAUAAAUGGGCUAACUGUUUUAGUGGGUUGAAAUUUGAUGGGUAUUCUGAUGGGCUGAAAUUUUUAUGGGCUAAGUGUAGUGGGCUAAAAAGUGAAGUGGCCUGCUUCUAAAAUGAGCCCAUUAAUAAAUAGGCCAUGAAUGCAAAGUCAUCGUCCACGUCAGCAGCCAUGUUAUUGUCCAUGUCAUUGUCACCACCCAUGUCAUUUUUCACGUCAUAAGCCAUGUCAUCAUCAUCAUUAUCCACAUCAUUAGUCAUGUCAGCUGCCAUGUCAACAGCCACAUCAUCAUCACUAUCCACAUCACUAGCCAUGUCAACCACCACGUCAACGUCCACAUCACUUAUGGGUAAUGUGGCUACUUUAUCCAUGACGAAUAUAAUCUAUGUGGCAACUAUCUGUGAUGUUUAUUUUCGUCAUUGAUAUUGGGCUUGGGUUGGGCUGGGCUGUGCGGGC